GCUCUCUGGGUGGCGAGUGGCGGACGGGUGAGGAAUGCAUCGGAAUCUACUCUUUCGUGGGGGAUAACGUAGGGAAACUUACGCUAAUACCGCAUACGACCUACGGGUGAAAGCCGGGGACCUUCGGGCCUGGCGCGAAAGAAUGAGCCGAUGCCCGAUUAGCUAGUUGGCGGGGUAAGAGCCCACCAAGGCGACGAUCGGUAGCUGGUCUGAGAGGAUGAUCAGCCACACUGGAACUGAGACACGGUCCAGACUCC
rnacentral:rRNA from 1 species